GCGGGCGUAGUUUAAUGGUAGAACAUUAGCUUCCCAAGCUAAUGGAGUCGGUUCGAUUCCGAUCGCCCGCU
rnacentral:tRNA from 1 species